rnacentral:rRNA from 1 species
UACGUAGGGUGCGAGCGUUAAUCGGAAUUACUGGGCGUAAAGCGUGCGCAGGCGGUUUUGUAAGCCAGAUGUGAAAUCCCCGGGCUUAACCUGGGAAUGGCAUUUGGGACUGCAAGGCUCGAGUGCGGCAGAGGAGACUGGAAUUCCUGGUGUAGCGGUGAAAUGCGCAGAUAUCAGGAAGAACACCCGUGGCGAAGGCGGCUCUCUGGGACGGUACUGACGCUGAGACGCGAAAGCGUGGGGAGCGAACAGG